UUGAGUUUGAUAGAAGAUAGCAGAAUUUCACAAGGAGGGGUGAUAUCCAGAGAUCUGUGAAGGAAUAUCAGAUGCGAAGGCGGCUAUCUAGAUCAACACUGUCGUUGAGGGACGAAAGCAUGGGGAGCAAACAGGAUUAGAUACCCUGGUAGUCCAUGCCCUAAAAGAUGAGUGUUCGUGCUUAGAGAACUUUAGGCACUUAGUUAACACGUUAAACACUCCGCCUGGGGAGUACGAUCGCAAGGUUGGAACUCAAAGGAAUUGACGGGGGCCUAUACAAGUGGUGGAGCAUGUGGUUUAAUGCGAUAAUACGCGCGAAACCUUACCAGUUCUUGACAUAAAAAAGAAAAAGUUUGAAAAAGCAAUUUUAAAGAUUUUUACAGGUGCUGCAUGGCUGUCGUAAGCUCGUGUCGUGAGAUGUUAGGUUAACUCCUUUUAACGGGCGAAACCCCUUUUUUUCGUUGCUACUUAAUUUUAUUUUUAAAGCACUCUAAAAAAACUGCUCCCUUUUUUUAAUUCGGAGAGGAAGGUGGGGAUGACGUCAAGUCCUUAUGGCCCUUAUGAACUGGGCUACACACGUGCUACAAUGGUAAAGACAAUAAGAAGUGAUAGGGUAACCUAAAACCAAUCUUUAAACUUUAUCAAAGUUCGGAUUGUGGACUGCAACUCGUCCAUAUGAAGGUGGAAUCACUAGUAAUCGCACAUCAGCAUGUUGCGGUGAAUUUGUACCUAGGCCUUGUACACACCGCCCGUCACGUGCCGGGAGUUGGC
rnacentral:rRNA from 1 species